AACGAACGCUGGCGGCAGGCUUAACACAUGCAAGUCGAGCGCCCCGCAAGGGGAGCGGCAGACGGGUGAGUAACGCGUGGGAAUCUACCCAUCUCUACGGAAUAACGCAUGGAAACGUGUGCUAAUACCGUAUACGUCCUUCGGGAGAAAGAUCUAUCGGAGAUGGAUGAGCCCGCGUUGGAUUAGCUAGUUGGUGGGGUAAAGGCCUACCAAGGCGACGAUCCAUAGCUGGUCUGAGGGGAUGAUCAGCCACACUGGGACUGAGACACGGCCCAGACUCCUACGGGAGGCAGCAGUGGGGAAUAUUGGACAAUGGGCGCAAGCCUGAUCCAGCCAUGCCGCGUGAGUGAUGAAGGCCCUAGGGUUGUAAAGCUCUUUCACCGGUGAAGAUAAUGACGGUAACCGGAGAAGAAGCCCCUGCUAACUUCGUGCCAGCCGCCGCCGUAAGAC
rnacentral:rRNA from 1 species